AGUGAACGCUGGCGGUAGGCCUAACACAUGCAAGUCGAACGGCAGCACAGUAAGAGCUUGCUCUUACGGGUGGCGAGUGGCGGACGGGUGAGGAAUACAUCGGAAUCUACUUUUUCGUGGGGGAUAACGUAGGGAAACUUACGCUAAUACCGCAUCCGACCUACGGGUGAAAGCAGGGGAUCUUCGGACCUUGCGCGAUUGAAUGAGCCGCUGUUGGUUUAGCUAGUUGGCGGGGUAAAGGCCCACCAAGGCGACGAUCCGUAGCUGGUCUGAGAGGAUGGUCAGCGACACUGGAGCGGAACCACGGUCCAGGGUCCUGCGGUAGGCAGCAGUGGGGAAUAUUGGGCAAUGGGGGCAAGCCUGAUCCAACCAGACCGCGUGGGUGAAGAAGGCCUUCGGGUUGUAAAGCCCUUUUGUUGGGAAUGAAAAGCAGCAGGUUAAUACCCCGCUGUUCUGACGGUACCGGAUGAAUAAGCACCGGCUAACUUCGUG
rnacentral:rRNA from 1 species